ACCUAGUUUUGCUCGACACCAUUUGCCCUUACUAAACUAUCUAUCUAACAAGCUGUAGUCUGCAAUAAUUGUUGCUUUUCGUCUCUGUUGAUUCAACGCCUUGAAUGUCGAGAUGAAUCACACUGAAGUUCUUGCUCUUUGCAUAAAUGAUGCUUGAUGGUGGUAUGGCUAUGUCAUUUUAUGCAUUGAAUUGCCCAGCAGGUGUUCGACGAAAUGCCAAUGAGAGCGUUUUUCGGUUUAGAAGGAGAUUAAACCAGUAUUUAUCUGUACAGAUCUUCUCUGUUAUUCAAACUGAUGAGAAUGACAACUUAGCAGCAUCCAAGAAGAUGUCGAGUUCGGGAAAAUCUCUGUUGAAAACUCGAACUCUUAAGCCCCUUCUUGUCCAGCCAAAUACUGUGGGUGUCAUAGGGGGAGUGUCGGUUUUUUCCACUCUACUUUUCAUGGAAAAGCUCGUUUGGUGGAGUAGGAAGGAUGGAGAAGAGAGCAUACCUUUUGUUGUCUGCAGCGAUCCAGUAUUAGACAAGGGAAUUCCUCAUAGUGAUGCCAUGAUCAUCGAGAAUUUGAAGCAGAAAACGGCGUUUCUCGAGCAGUCGGGAGCUCGAUGUCUAAUCACACCUUGCCAUCUUUCACAUAGGUGGCUUGGUGACACAUCUGAGAGCUCCAAAUUACCUUUCCUUCACGUCGGAGAUUGUGUAGCUAGUGAGCUUAAUGAGGCUAAGCUUAAGCAACUUGAAGCAGGUAGCAAUGUCCGGAUUGGCUUGCUUGCAACUGAUACAGCAACACUAACUGGUUUUUACCACGAGAGGCUACAAAAGCAGGGCUUUGAUGUCGUCGUGCCGGACAAGGCAACCAUGGAGCAUAUAGUAAUUCCUGCAGUGGAAGCUUUCCAUAAAAGGGAUCAUGAAGGAGCAAGAAAUCUGUUGAGAAUUGCCGUUCAUGUGCUAUUGACAAGGGCUGUGAAUAUGACAGAAAAUGGACUCUGCUGAGCGGAGUGGAAAGGCCAUGUAUCUCGAUGCAUUUGAAGACUGGAACUCUAGACCUUGGAACUUUGUUCAUCACGAAUCGUCGAUGAUUAAGUUUGUUUACGAGGCGAUGGAGGCGACUCUCGCUUUUCCACUGAGAUUGAAGGUGUUGGGACGAAAAUCGAAAGCGGGAAAGUAAUGGCAAACCCAGUCUCCAGAUUUCCAUCCAGGUGGGAUGCUUGCAUCAGAUCCAUACUGAUCGGAACCCAUCAUGUAGGCGCCAUAAUCACCGGGAUAGACGGACUUAAAUGCACCACAUCUAAAGCAGUUCGGGCGGCUGGCGUAAUUGUGAGCUCCGCAGCUGACGGCGGUGCAGUACCAGUCUCCGGCCAACACCUCCGUCUUGUUGUAACUGUAAGUUGAAGGGUCUGGGCCUCCAUACUUGGGAAAAGGUUUGGCCCGAGGGGCAGCCCGGUUGGUAAGAGCUUGGAGUCUCGUAGGCAUACUGGCUUAGAUAUCCCAAAUUUGAAUCUUCAGGUGAGCUUAAUACUAGAUUUCUUUUAUGUUUCUUUUGUUCGGGGCUUGCGUUGGGCGUAGCUGCCCCCUAUUAUCUAUAAUAUACAUAUAUAUCUUAUUGAAAACUUCACAUGGUAGAUUAAUUUCUUUAAGAAAUACAAAUCUAUUCAGAAAGGUACAUUUCAUUCCUAGAAAAACAGACAUCUCGUGCAAUCAUAUGAGUAUUUUAAAUCAUUAUUCCAGUUCUUGUGCUUUUGUUUGUAGGGUAAUAACUUUUCUCAAAAGUAUUCCGCGUUUACUCUAGACUAAUGCCUUACUUUGUAUCUUGAGAUACCCUAGAAGACAAGCCAAAAUUUGUCACUGAUAAAUUGAUUCCAUUUUUCACUUUUGAAGUAUAUAUAGGUUUGAAUAUAGUUUUAGCCCUAAUGGCUUAAUGAAAACCAAGUUUAAAUUUUGCUAUCUAUAUUGUUCAACUCCAUUACUUGAAUACUUUUGGUCUUUUAAUAUUAUUAAUUCUAGUUUAAAUCAUGUUGGAUAACUAUUUAGUUCUUGAAAACUAGGCUUGUAAACACUAUUUCUACGUAUUAGUUUCCAAGCUGUCUAAUAAUAGGUAGAUUAUGGUUGACAAAAGAGAUGCUAUAUAGAAGAUGAAUAUGGUUAGAACAUACGUCCAAAAAAUUGGACAACAAUUAUAUACUAGGAAUUAUAGAUAGAGUUUAGAUACGUGAGAUUUGAACAUUUGGCUUCGUGAUCGAGAUUAUGAAAAAAAAAAAGGGUUUGGGAGUUGGGACAGGGGGUUUUAGUAGGAAGUGGUAGCUAGGUGAGAUGCCCUUGAGUUGGGUGGACUUUGUUUGCUCCAACUUGGCCAAAUAAGCCUUCCCCAUGUACUUUCAUUAUGUGGAUCAAACCCUUUCACAAAAGAAGGGGUUAAAUAAAACACAAAACAACUGAAACAAAAAGUUCAUUGUGUUAUUAUUGUUAUAUAAUUGCCUCUCUUUCCCCCAUUGGAAUCUAUUCCUGUUAAGUGCACAUCCAUCAGCCUCCCAAAUUCCCUUUCCCUUCAAUAAUGCAACAAAAAGAUGGGCACUUCUUAGAUUCAUCAUCCCAUUUCACCUCCUCCUGCUGCCUUUCUUCUGGCCCUCCCAUUGCUCAAUUUAUAUGCAUGCACAUAUGCUAUUUCUAUCUCCACUUUCUUUUUCAGGUGGGGUUCAAGUGAUUUGAAUGUCUAUCGAGGAUAUAUGCCUAAAUUAGUCGAGACACUCGAGUAAAUGAGAGAUAUAUGAAUGAGCCGAGACCAUAUCUGAAUGAGAGUAAUCACGAGGAUAGAUAGCUAAGAAAGGCUUAAAAGAACGAAAGUUACUACCUAUAUCAACAAUGUUCACUUUCCUUUUCGGUGGUGCAAUCAUAAGAAAUCUAAGGUUAAACGUG